rnacentral:lncRNA from 1 species
UAGGUAGCAUUGGCAACUUUCACAACCUACCCGUUGGUCAUCAUUCAUCACAGAAUUAUCCUUUUAGCAAUGCAAAAACCAAUAAGUAGACUUACAUGAAAUAAAACCUUUAUUAUCAAGCUUCCAAAGCUAAAAAUCAUCAUAUGACAUAAGGGCAAAAUCCAUUUAACAAAUGACCUUCAAUAAAACACUCCCAGUGAGAAAUUUUAACUUGUUCAAAUUUUA